rnacentral:rRNA from 1 species
AGCGAACGCUGGCGGCGUGCCUAACACAUGCAAGUCGAACGUGAACGGCUUCGGCCUAGUAAAGUGGCGUACGGGUGAGUAACGCGUAGGUAAUCUACCCCAGAGUCUGGAAUAACCGGCCGAAAGGCUGGCUAAUACUGGAUAGAGCGACGGAAUCCGUAAUUGGAUUUUUCGGGUAAAGGGAGGCCGCAAGGUCCCUUGCUCUGGGAUGAGCCUGCGUCUCAUUAGCUAGUUGGUAAGGAACGGCUUACCAAGGCUUUGAUGGGUAGCUGGUCUGAGAGGAUGAUCAGCCACACUGGAACUGAAACACGGUCCAGACUCCUACGGGAGGCAGCAGUGGGGAAUCUUGCGCAAUGGACGAAAGUCUGACGCAGCCACG